CGCGCAGGUGGGAUAGUCAGUCUUAUGUAAAAGUGCGGGGCUCAACCCCGUAGAGCGUGAGAAACUGCUAUUCUUGAGUGCCGGAGAGGAAAGCGGAAUUCCCAGUGUAGCGGUGAAAUGCGUAGAUAUUGGGAGGAACACCAGUGGCGAAGGCGGCUUUCUGGACGGUGUCUGACACUGAGGCGCGAAAGCCAGGGGAGCGAACGGGAUUAGAUACCCCGGUAGUCCUGGCCGUAAACGAUGGGUACUAGGUGUAGGGGGUAUCGACCCCUCCUGUGCCGGAGUUAACGCAAUAAGUACCCCGCCUGGGGAGUACGGCCGCAAGGUUGAA
rnacentral:rRNA from 1 species